AGAGUUUGAUCCUGGCUCAGAUUGAACGCUGGCGGCAGGCCUAACACAUGCAAGUCGAGCGGAUGAAGGGAGCUUGCUCCUGGAUUCAGCGGCGGACGGGUGAGUAAUGCCUAGGAAUCUGCCUGGUAGUGGGGGAUAACGUCCGGAAACGGGCGCCAAUACCGCAUACGUCCUGAGGGAGAAAGUGGGGGAUCUUCGGACCUCACGCUAUCAGAUGAGCCUAGGUCGGAUUAGCUAGUUGGUGGGGUAAAGGCCUACCAAGGCGACGAUCCGUAACUGGUCUGAGAGGAUGAUCAGUCACACUGGAACUGAGACACGGUCCAGACUCCUACGGGAGGCAGCAGUGGGGAAUAUUGGACAAUGGGCGAAAGCCUGAUCCAGCCAUGCCGCGUGUGUGAAGAAGGUCUUCGGAUUGUAAAGCACUUUAAGUUGGGAGGAAGGGCGGUAAGUUAAUACCUUGCUGUUUUGACGUUACCAACAGAAUAAGCACCGGCUAACUUCGUGCCAGCAGCCGCGGUAAUACGAAGGGUGCAAGCGUUAAUCGGAAUUACUGGGCGUAAAGCGCGCGUAGGUGGUUCAGCAAGUUGGAUGUGAAAUCCCCGGGCUCAACCUGGGAACUGCAUCCAAAACUACUGAGCUAGAGUACGGUAGAGGGUGGUGGAAUUUCCUGUGUAGCGGUGAAAUGCGUAGAUAUAGGAAGGAACACCAGUGGCGAAGGCGACCACCUGGACUGAUACUGACACUGAGGUGCGAAAGCGUGGGGAGCAAACAGGAUUAGAUACCCUGGUAGUCCACGCCGUA
rnacentral:rRNA from 1 species